rnacentral:rRNA from 1 species
AACCUUUGACAUCCCGAUCGCGGGCACCAGAGAUGGAGCCCUUCAGUUCGGCUGGAUCGGAGACAGGUGCUGCAUGGCUGUCGUCAGCUCGUGUCGUGAGAUGUUGGGUUAAGUCCCGCAACGAGCGCAACCCUCGCCCUUAGUUGCCAUCAUUUAGUUGGGCACUCUAAGGGGACUGCCGGUGAUAAGCCGGAGGAAGGUGGGGAUGACGUCAAGUCCUCAUGGCCCUUACAGGUUGGG